rnacentral:rRNA from 1 species
GACGAACGCUGGCGGCGUGCCUAAUACAUGCAAGUUGAGCGCUGAAGGUUGGUACUUGUACCAACUGGAUGAGCAGCGAACGGGUGAGUAACGCGUGGGGAAUCUGCCUUUGAGCGGGGGACAACAUUUGGAAACGAAUGCUAAUACCGCAUAAAAACUUUAAACACAAGUUUUAAGUUUGAAAGAUGCAAUUGCAUCACUCAAAGAUGAUCCCGCGUUGUAUUAGCUAGUUGGUGAGGUAAAGGCUCACCAAGGCGAUGAUACAUAGCCGACCUGAGAGGGUGGUCGGCCACAAUGGGACUGAGACACGGCCCAAACUACUACGGGAGGCAGCAGUAGGGAAUCUUCGGCAAUGGACGAAAGUCUGACCGAGAAACGCCGCGUGAGGGAAGAAGGUUUUCGGAUCGUAAAACUCUGUUGGUAGAGAAGAACGGUGGUGAGAGUGGAAAGCUCAUCAAGUGACGGUAACUACACAGAAAGGGACGGCUAACUACGUG